CGUUCGGACGGUACCUCCAGAAGCAGCCACGGCCAACUUCGUGCCAGCAGCCGCGGUAAUUCCAGCUCCAAUAGCGUAUGUUAACAUUGUUGCUGUUAAAAAGCUCGUAGUUGGAUUUCUGGUGGGAGAGGCCGUUGUCUCGUCGCGUGCGGCUCCGGUCGCGCGCGUUCGAGCGCGGUCUUUUUUCGUUCCCACCUUUCUCGCGGUCGUGCGUCGGUCCUUCACGGGAUCGGCGUCUCGCCGCGUCGUUUACUGAGAGUAAAUAGAGUGUUUAAGGCAGGCAUUGUCGCUUGAAUACUGUCGCUUGGAAUAAUAAGAUCGCGUCCGCGGGACCUCUCUAUUUUGUUGGUUUGCCCCACGGCGUAAGUUUAACAGGAACAGUUGGGGGUAUUCGUAUUCCGAUGUCUGCGGUGAAAUGCUCGGAUUCUCGGAAGACGGACGACUGCGAAAGCAUCUACCCAGAAUGUUUUCAUUAAUCAAGAACGAAAGUCAGGGGAUCGAAGAGGAUUAGAGACCCUCGUAGUCUUGACCGUAAACGAUGCCGACUUGGGGUCGGGGGCUGCUCCAUUGUGACUCUCCCGGCACCACGCGCGAAAGCCAAGUCAUUGGGUUCAGGGGGGAGUAUGGCCGCAAGACUGAAACUUAAAGAAAUUGACGGAAGGGCACACCAGGAGUGGAGCCUGCGGCUUAAUUUGACCCAACGCGGGGAAACUUGCCAGGUCCAGACAUAGUGAGGAUUGACAGAUUGAGAGCUCUUUCUUGAUUCUAUGGGUGGUGGUGCAUGGCCGUUCUUAGUUGGUGGAGUGAUUUGUCUGGUUAAUUCCGAUAACGAACGAGACCGCAGCCUGCUAAAUAGCGCCCGGACUCUCGCGAGUCUUUUGUUGGAGCUUCUUAGAGGGACUUUCCGCGUCUAGCGGAAGGAAGUUUGCGGCAAUAACAGGUCUGUGAUGCCCUUCGAUGUUCUGGAAUGCACGCGCGCUACACUGACCACCUCAACGAGUUGUCAUUGCCCGUGGUCGGAAGGCCUCGGUAAUCUUCAAACGGUGGUCGUGAUGGGGCUAGAUCAUUGUAAUUAUUGAUCUUCAACGAGGAAUUCCUAGUAAGCGCGGUUCAUCACACCGCAUUGAUUAUGUCCCUGCCCUUUGUACACACCGCCCGUCGCACCUACCGAUUGAACGGUGAGGUUAGAUCUCGGGACUGCGAUCGCUUGCGUUCGCGGGAACUUGCUCGUACCUU
rnacentral:rRNA from 1 species